rnacentral:misc_RNA from 1 species
AACGCACGAGACCUGCGGACCUGCGGAAGGAUCAUUAAUGAGAAACUGCCCCUCGCGGGUAGAUCUCCCACCCUUUGUAAACUUACCUUUGUUGCUUUGGCAGGCCCGUCUCCGGGCCGCCGGCUUCGGCUGGCCAGUGCCUGCCAGAGGAUUCUAAAACUCUGUCUGUCAGUGUUGUCUGAGUCUAUAUACAAUCGUUAAAACUUUCAACAACGGAUCUCUAGAUCGGAAGAGCACACG